rnacentral:lncRNA from 1 species
CCAUAUCAUUUCAUUUCAUGUUAUACUUUGGUUUUGCAUAAAACAUUUGCAUCAAAGCCAUGGUUAUGAUAGAAACGGAACAUCGUUCGAGUUCAUUAGUCUAAGCCAUUUGGAGUACUCCUAUGACUAGACAUGGUCGUUGUAUCUUGGGAAAUGAUUGUCAAAAAACCGUUAGCAUCGAUACGGGGUAAAUUCAUCUUAAAGACAAAGUGUCUAACACUUGCCUCAGCCAAUCGCAUCAUUCGCAUCUCACAUUGAUUCUUUCUGAUUUCUUUCUUCGUAUUUGAUUUUAGAAAAUUAAUAACAUUCUUUUAAUUUCAUGUAGGUUUGAAAUAAACAAUGAAAAUGAUUGAAUCUAUCGUUUUAUCUUCCCAAAUCCAUUUCGGUAAGACGAAAUUGCAUUUCGAUUUCGUGAAGAUAAAUAUCAUGUUUAUGAAUAUAAUAUGCACAAUAUCGGUGGAAUUUUCCAACAAUCUUAAGAUGAAUUUUGGUGCUUGUUGUGCAUUUUAUAUUCUUUGAAAAAUCUGCCAAACGUAUUGCCCAAUUGAGAAGCAUGUUUACUUUAUUGUUCAAAUUGGGUUUCGUGUAUUCAUGUUUAUGGAAUAUAUUUAAAUUGCUCAUCCAAAAAUAAUUUCAUUUGCUGCAAUUGUAAAUGUUAGUAAAUCAUUUGUCGAUUUUAUUUGAAAAAAAUGCUAGUACCUUUAAAUCCAAAGGGUUUGUCUUUAUUAAAAGAUUAAUGGCAGCUAUAUACUAAACAUGAACCGAUGUCUUUUAAGUUCUACG